CAAGGUUAGGGGUCCCUUGUUCGGGCACCACUUACGACGAGCGAGGGAAAGCAAGCAGCCGACUCAAUCUGCCUACGGGAAGAUCUGCAAGACCAACCUCUAGAGAAUUCUGAUCUAACCCUUUUCACUUCAUACUAUGUGAAUGGAAAACAACACACAGACUAUGCAGUGGUGAGAAACUUAAGAGUUACUUGAAGCAGAACUUCUAUGACCUUCAGUGAGUGCCCAAGGGGCUGAAUUAACUGCAUUAGCAAGAGCAGCCUGGUGGGGACAUAAUCAGCAGAACCACCUGGACCAGAGAGUCACCCGCUGCUUGGCCAAGUGGACCAUCAGAGACCAUAAAUCAAGGACAGUGUCCUAUUUGGUGUAUUCACCAUCCUUAUAGAGUGGCAACCACUCCAGGCUCAGUUCCAAGAGGGGAAGGUUUGAGAUGGCAUCAGCACGGUUGGUUUGGUUAUCCUGCAAUAAUUGUGGCCAAUGUCAUCCUGGGUGUUGUAUUGAUAACUGUUAUAAAGGUCAUUGGGGAAACCAUCAUUGAGGUUGGGGCUGGGGAAAUAUAAACAAAAAAAGCGCAACUGGAUAGAUAAACUGAUGCUGUGCAUGCAGGUGGCACCAAACACCCAAUAAAGAAGUUAGC